UACGUAGGGUGCGAGCGUUGUCCGGAAUUACUGGGCGUAAAGAGCUCGUAGGUGGUUUGUCGCGUUGUUCGUGAAAACUCACAGCUUAACUGUGGGCGUGCGGGCGAUACGGGCAGACUGGAGUACUGCAGGGGAGACUGGAAUUCCUGGUGUAGCGGUGAAAUGCGCAGAUAUCAGGAGGAACACCGGUGGCGAAGGCGGGUCUCUGGGCCGUAACUGACGCUGAGGAGCGAAAGCGUGGGGAGCGAACAGG
rnacentral:rRNA from 1 species